UGAAGGCCUCAGCUUGAUGUCUUGCAACCCUAGUUUCUCUAAGGUACUCCAAGGACAGAUAUUCAGUGCGGAUCCAUUAUCGAUUAACACCUUAGGCAGCAUUUUUCCAUUGCACCUCACUGUUAUGUACAACGCCCUAUUAUGUCCGAUGCCCUCCGUCGGCAAUUCAUCGUCAGAAAAAACAAUUUGCUUGUUGAAUAAUACGUUCCCCACCACGUUUGAAAAAUUAUCAACAGAAAUGUCCCUCGGAAUUUAAGCUCUUGUUAAUACGUCGAUCAAUGCAUCCCUAUGCACGUCCGAAGAGAAAAGUAGGUCCAACAUGGUUAUCUGGGCAGGUGAUCUGCUUAGCUUUUCCACUAUGUUGUAUUCACUUCUCUCGAGUCGUUUAAGGAAAUCCACGGCUUCUUUCUCGGUGAUUGUUGGUUUGAUGGGUGGCUCAGAACUAUUGGCUUGAAUUGGAGUAGUAGUCUCAAAUGGAUUUACAGUCUUCCCCGAUCUGGUAACUACUGACACUUCCUUCUUUGCGGUUGAAUUCUCCCCGAUUUGUAUGCUAGGCUCAUCGUAAUUCCACGGCACUUGUUGCAGACUUAAUAC
rnacentral:lncRNA from 1 species